rnacentral:rRNA from 1 species
AUACGUAGGUGGCAAGCGUUGUCCGGAAUUACUGGGCGUAAAGGGCGAGUAGGCGGUCAUGCAAGUCAGAUGUGAAAGGCGCGGGCUCAACUUGCGCAUUGCAUUUGAAACUGUGUGACUUGAGUGCAGGAGAGGAAAGCGGAAUUCCCAGUGUAGCGGUGAAAUGCGUAGAUAUUGGGAGGAACACCAGUGGCGAAGGCGGCUUUCUGGCCUGUAACUGACGCUGAUGCGCGAAAGCGUGGGGAGCAAAAAGGAGUAGAUACCCUGGUAGUCCAAGCCGUAAACGAUGGAUGCUAGGUGUGGGAGGUAUCGACCCCUUCCGUGCCGUAGUUAACGCAAUAAGCAUCCCGCCUGGGGAGUACGGUCGCAAGACUGAA